GACGAACGCUGGCGGCGUGCUUAACACAUGCAAGUCGAGCGAGAAAAGGGGGGCAACUCCCUGAGUACAGCGGCGCACGGGUGAGUAACACGUAGGUAACCUGCCCUCGAGCCUGGAAUAACCUACCGAAAGGUGGGCUAAUACCAGAUAUGACCACGGGAGUUUCGGCUCCUGCGGUGAAAGGUGGCCUCUACCUGUAAGCUAUUACUCGAGGAUGGGCCUGCGUGCCAUUAGCAGUUGGUGAGGUAACGGCUCACCAAGGCUAUGAUGGCUAGCUGGUCUGAGAGGAUGGCCAGCCACACUGGGACUGAAACACGGCCCAGACUCCUACGGGAGGCAGCAGUGGGGGAUAUUGCGCAAUGGGCGAAAGCCUGACGCAGCGACGCCGC
rnacentral:rRNA from 1 species